rnacentral:rRNA from 1 species
UACGGAGGGUGCGAGCGUUGUCCGGAAUCAUUGGGCGUAAAGGGCGCGUAGGUGGCCCGGUCAGUUCGUGGUGAAAGCGCGGGGCUCAACCCUGCGUCGGCCAUGAAUACUGCCGCGGCUGGAGCACUGUAGAGGCAGGCGGAAUUCCGGGUGUAGCGGUGGAAUGCGUAGAGAUCCGGAAGAACACCGGUGGCGAAGGCGGCCUGCUGGGCAGUUUGGCUGACACUGAGGCGCGACAGCGUGGGGAGCAAACAGG